CGUGAAUUAGUGUGAAAAUGGCGGCCGUUCACGAUCCAGAGAUUCAACUGGCACAAAAGUUAGCCUCAAACGAAAAGCCCAUUCGAACAAAAGCAUUAAAAAAGCUAAAGAAGUAUAUAAAUGUCAGAUCACAGAAACUGACGGAUGGCUUUACGAGUGAAGAAAUGCUCAAGCUGUGGAAAGGUCUGUUCUACUGCUUGUGGAUGCAGGACAAACCACUUUUACAGGAGGAGCUUUCCAACUCUGUUUGCACACUGAUUCACACCUUUCAUGACAUUGAUGGACGUA